AGCAGCAUGGCGCAGUGGUAGCGCGCAGGGCCCAUAUGGUUCUGUGUGUUCGAUGGAACCCCGAGGUCACUUGAUCGAAACAAGUUGCUGCUA